UAAUAGAAGUCUCUGUGUAUUAUUUGGGGCCCUAACUCGGCAGGCAGAACUCCGGCGGCUGGCAGAAAGCGCCCAUGUGGUGGUAGGACUCUGGUGGCUUUUGGCGGAAAGAUUUAUCGUAACAGAGGCUCUUGUCUCCCUCACUGGAAUUUAAAAGAGGCCAGAAGAAGGCAUUGGGUCCCAGGAACUGGAAUUACAGAUGGUGCGAGCUGCUGUUGCUGUGUAGGUGCUGGGGCUCGAACCCUGGUCCUCUUUAAAGAAUCUGGCAGAGUGAAGUGGAAUGGGCCAAGGCUGUACACCCCCGAUGCCUGCUCUCAAUGACAUGCUUCCUCCAGCAAGGCUAACACUGUUUCGGUCUUACCAGUGUUUUCUGGACCUUCCUGUCCAGCUGAAUUGCUCAGAACAAGCAAAUAGUUAGGUCGGAGCCACAUUCCAGGCCAUUUAAGUCAGAAUCUCCAGGGGCUGGGUCCUGCCUGGCCUGGGAAGAGAAACUUCCCUGACUAUUCUGAUGUGCUGAGAGAGAAGCAAGCUGAAUCCAACCCACGGAGGUAUCUCAAGGCCUGUGUGAAUGGAGAAAAGCGGAAACUCUCAGUAUGACUCAGCUGCAGCAGGCUUUGGGAGUGGACAUCAAAUGAUAACUACAAAAAAGCAAGAAACAAGCACAAAAGCCUAUCAGGAAACCCCCCAAAGAAGUGAAGUCUUGGGGGCUGGUGAGAUGUCUCAGCAGAUACCCAGGGUCAGUGGCUAUUUUUAGCCAUUGUUCUCCCCAGUGGGGUUAUCCUCAGAGAAUCCUUACUGCCCGGGCUCCCCUUUCAUAAGUUUCUCCGGGGUAUCUGCAUCUCCUCCCCCUGCCUCCCCCUUUCAGUUUGAGGAGAACAGUCCAUCGUCAUAUGACAACAGGAACAUGAGGCAACUGGUGACAGUGGCCUCCGCCCCUGCCCCAUGGCCUCCACUCCUGGCUGUGACCGGCAGACAGAGCUUUAUAGAAAGGUCUCAUGGAAGCAGAUGCUGAAUGCUCAGCCCGCAUCCCCUCAAGACCGGAGAGGUUCCAAAUACGGAAAUACAAGUCUUCCAGGGAGAGCUGAUCUUCUAAGCUGACUUUCUAGAAAUGGGAAGAAUUUACUCCGUUUGUCACUCACCUCAAGGCAUGCCAUUUACCUUCUAAACUGAGAAGUGGCACCCUGGUGCAGUGAUCUUAGGUGACAUUUCUGGACAUUCAGAACUAAAUACGAAGCCAAAGAUAACAGUCCCAGUGGCUGGGAGCCUAUGGUCCCUCUUCUGCUGCCACACAGAACUACAGUUUUGGAUGAGAUUUUCCUGUUGGAUUUCAGUCAGGCCUUGCCAAUGUGAGGCACUUUUAGAAGGGCAGAAGGAACCUAAGGUGUGUCCAGAUGGACUGUUCUCGGCCAUGAGUACUGAGAGGAGGGAUGCAGUGUUCUUCUGAGUCCACGGUGUCAACCUGCCAUGUCUCUGGUGCCUCGUCUCCUUUGUUUUCCUUUCUGCAAACACACAAAGCAGACCAGUAGAAUUAAAGACACAGAGGCCAGCAGUAAACAGAGUCAAGGAGGUUCACAUCAGAGAUCAGAAGAUGUGGCUUCCGUUCACGGUGUUUGCAGACUUAGUGCGAGAUCCUGUCUGAAAAACAAGGUGGAUGACUUCUGAGAAAGGAUGACUUGCCUUCCAAGCGGCUGAAUUCAUGGCAGAAGAAACAUCCAGGGAGCACCUGCAGUUUGCAAGACACCUGGACAGAGCACAGACUCCCCCAGGCCUCUCUGAGCCUUGGCACUGACUGCAGAGUAAGACUCAGGGAGAGAUUCGUGCAAGUACUAAAGACCAGUUCUGACAGACGUUGCCUUAGUGGCCUUCUUUCAGCCAGGAAUUGCCUGUUUGCUGUUUGAGUCCCAGAGCGGCCCUUGCUCACUAGGGCUUCUCAUUCUCCCUUCCUGAGGGUAUUUUCUGUGUGGCUUAGAAUAAAGAUUGGACUAUGUAGAUGUUACCAUGGCAACUGGUGUUUUAAAUAAAAAUAGUGCUACACCCCCGG